GACGAACGCUGGCGGCGUGCUUAACACAUGCAAGUCGAACGGAAAGUCCCUGCUUUUGUGGGGUGCUCGAGUGGCGAACGGGUGAGUAACACGUGGGUAACCUGUCCUUGACUUUGGGAUAACUUCAUGAAACUGGGUCUAAUACCGGAUAGGAGCUCCUGCUGCUGGGUGGGGGUGGGAAAGUUUCGGCAGUUGGGGAUGUACUCGCCGCUUAUCAGCUUGUUGGAUGGGUAGUGGCUUACCAAGGCUUUGACAGGUAGCCGGCCUGAGAGGGUGACCCGACAAGUUGGGACUGGGAUGCGGCCCAGCCUACACCGGGAGGGAGCAGAGGAGUAUAGUGUACUAUGGGCGGAAGCCAGAUCCAGCAAAGCCGCGUGCGGGAUGUCGGCAAUCGGGUUGGAAUCCGAUGUUGUCUGUGCCGAAACGUGAGUGACGGUAAUGGGUGAAGAAGCACCGGCUAACUACGUG
rnacentral:rRNA from 1 species